UUAAGUGCUCUGCUAUGAGAACUGAAUUCCAUAGAUGGUGGCGUCUUCAGGUGUCGUCUAUGGGCUCAGUUCUUUUGGUAUGGUACCACUAU